rfam:Triticum aestivum genome assembly, contig: Triticum_aestivum_CS42_TGACv1_scaffold_641123_T_2BS-0.162894_1BL-0.134887
GUACUACUCCCUCCGUCCGGAAAUACUUGUCAUCAAAAUGAAUAAAAGAGAAUGUAUCUAGAUGUAUAUUAGUUCUAGAUACAUUCUUUUCUAUCCAUUUUGAUGACAACUAUUUUCGGACGGAGGGAGUACUUU